GUCAUGCCUUAGUAGCGGCGAGUGAAGCGGCAAAAGCUCAAAUUUGAAAUCUGGCGCCUUCGGUGUCCGAGUUGUAAUUUGAAGAUUGUAACCUUGGGGUUGGCUCUUGUCUAUGUUUCUUGGAACAGGACGUCACAGAGGGUGAGAAUCCCGUGCGAUGAGAUGCCCAAUUCUAUGUAAGGUGCUUUCGAAGAGUCGAGUUGUUUGGGAAUGCAGCUCUAAGUGGGUGGUAAAUUCCAUCUAAAGCUAAAUAUUGGCGAGAGACCGAUAGCGAACAAGUACAGUGAUGGAAAGAUGAAAAGAACUUUGAAAAGAGAGUGAAAAAGUACGUGAAAUUGUUGAAAGGGAAGGGUUUGAGAUCAGACUCGAUAUUUUGUGAGCCUUGCCUUCGUGGCGGGGUGACCCGCAGCUUAUCGGGCCAGCAUCGGUUUGGGCGGUAGGAUAAUGGCGUAGGAAUGUGACUUUACUUCGGUGAAGUGUUAUAGCCUGCGUUGAUGCUGCCUGCCUAGACCGAGGACUGCGAUUUUAUCAAGGAUGCUGGCAUAAUGAUCCCAAACCGCCCGU
rnacentral:rRNA from 1 species